CCCUUAGAUGGUCUGGGCGGCACGCGCGCUACAAUGAUGCAUUCAAAAAGUCUUCUGACCUUAGAAGGUUGGGUAUUCUCCAAAGUGCAUCGUGAUGGGAAUAGUUUAUUGCAAUUUUUAAUCUUGAACGAGGAAUUCCUAGUAAGUACAGGUCAUCAACUUGUGUUGAUUACGUCCCUGCCCUUUGUACACACCGCCCGUCGCACCAAUUGAUUGGAUGACUCGAUGAAAAAUCAGGACUGAGAUUUCUUUUGCUUCAUUGCAGAGGAAGUUUUGGGAAUCUUUUUAAAUCUCGUUAUCUAGAGAUUGGUGAAGUCGUAACA
rnacentral:rRNA from 1 species